CAAAAAUAAUCUUAGUGAAAAUUCCUGAAUUUACAGUAUUUUCUUUACAAUCUUAUCAUCUACAGCCUUCCAAAAAAAUGAAAUGGCUUCAGUCCUUUCAUGAGUUUGGUUUUUUUUGGCGGAGAGGAUCAGGUACUGGUGCAGAGUUAUGUGGGUCAUAUUUCACAGUAAUGUUUUAUUCAUCUCUUAUAUAUGACAAUAAUACUAAAUAGAAAUAUCAUAUUGUUUUCAGGGUAAAAAUCAAGAGGUUCCUAUGAUGGUACCCGGUCAUACCACCAUUUCACCCACCUCAGUGUUAUGAUCUCAUUGGUUACCAUGGACACAACUAUUCUGCUUAAUGAUUGGACAUCUUCAUGGUUACCAAGGAGACAGAACUGAUGACAAUUUCCCGUAAUAAAAGGGAGAUAACUUAUUUAUUUGUUAAUUCAAUGGUUGUUAAUGAAUAGUUCAGUGAUUUUUUUUUUGUAUUAUAUUAUAAUAAGUAUAUAUCUAUAUAUAGUGAUUUAGCUAUUUAUAUAAAAUAUGCAUGAAAUUUGUUGAAACCAUUUUUUCUGGUUUUUAUGUUGAUAUUGAAUAUUGUGUAUUGAUUAUUUGUUUAUUUGAUUUAGUGUUUAGCUAUGUAUUGAAGGAUUGUGAUUGGCUAAGAAAUAGAAAACAAGUUUUGAUUGGUUACUGUCUUAUUGAACACUUUGAUAGGAUGACCCAUUAAAUAUUUAAACACAACCAAAGGUUAACUGCUAAAAAGUGACCUUUGAUGGGUUAUUUUUUUAAGAAAGUUUAUUUGGUGAUUUUUUUUUGCAAUACAAAAUAUUGCUUGUCAAAAAACAUACCACUUUACAAGAAUUUGAAAACACUUCCGUAAACACAUCAGAAAAAAAAUAAAAAAGAUUAAAAAAAAAAAUAUGAAUAAUAUUUCACCUUAUAAUCAUCACAUGAAGUAAGAUAGAUUAAUUCACUAAAUUGACACAUUUUCAAUAGCCAAUCACAAUCCUUGAUUAACUAGCUUCAUUUUCAUAUUUAAAUCAUGUUAUUUUUUGUCUGUGUUAUUCCUUGAAUAUUUAUUUUUUGAGGUCAGUUCAGGUGAAGUUUUGAAGUACACAAAGCCAGAACAUCUGGUUCAGAAAUUAAUUUUCUUUUAUAGUCCAUUUUGGAAGCCAUGCUCAAAACACGAUCUUUCAAAAAAAAAUUCUGUGUUUUAUUCACUUUGUUCAAUAUUCAACUAAAUUCAGACCUAUUAAAAAAAAUAAUUCAGAACAAAAAAUAUACCUGGGGAGAUCAAAUUUAGACUGAAGAUUAUCAAAUUGAAUAAAAAAUAAAUGUUCAAGUGAGCUACCUUAGUAAUAGUCUCAUAAUUUGUUAUUGAUAUUACAUAAUUAGUAAAGAGUUUUGAUUAGCUCUUUUUCCGUCCAAUCAUUUCUUCAACAUAUCUUCACUGCAGGGGCAUAUCUAUAUUCAAACGAACAGUUAUUAUGCCUUUUAAUUUUAAUGAUUGCACAGAUCCUCUGCGGCGUUUUAUGCAUUGAUGUAGUGAGGAAUUCGCCGUUUCAGAAUCUAAUGCAUUCUGGGUAAUAUUGAGGAAUUGCUUAAGAUGUGAGUUGUAAUACAAACUGUGUGCAAUUCUUCAAAUAAUCAGAACAAUUCAGGGAUUUUGUUUUGUUUUUUAUUCAAAAUGUAAAUUUUUAAUCACACGAGGAGCUGUAAAUUACAGCAGCCUCUUGUACCAUACACAAAAAAGUAUAAUCUAGAUUUUAUAAAGUAUUCAAUCAAAUUCGAAAAUUUCGAUGUGUUCUGUACGAACAAUGAAUAUGAAUAAAAAUUUAUUUAGUUUUAAUUUUGUUUUAAAAAUUAGAUCGUUUACCAGAAAGGAGUUUGAACUAGUUAACAAAAAUUUUGGUAGAUCGAAAAACUCAUUUAUUAUUAAUCCGAAACCAUGACAACGAAUACUUUUCAUCUUUUUAAUAUGCAAAUUGUGUAUCUGUGUUAAUGAUAUUCUCUGUUUUGGUUGUGCAAAAAGUUCAUAAAAAUUCCUUGAAUUAUUAGAUUUUAAUCUAUUAAUUAUCUUUAUUUGAAUUAACAAUGUAAAUCGUUCAGGAGUUUGAAAUUCCAGCCUAUGACGUGAUGAACAACUGGACCAAUUUAAGCAUCUCAUCAUUUUUUUUUAAAUGGUCCCCCAUUUUUUGUACAUUUUUUGAAGUAUUCCCUUCGAACAAAUGCUUUGAAAUUGACAUUUUUUUCAAUGACAUUCCACUUGUAAUAAUUUCCAAUGCUAUUAUUGUUAAUUGUUCUAAUAUUAUAUGUGUUGACGAAAAAACAUCAAACUUUUUAUGCAAAUGUUGUUUACAAUUUGUUGUUUUGUUUAAAUUGUAAAAUGGAGGCAACCAUAUAUAGUGCUGUGUAAGUGUUUUGUGUGUGAAAUCAAUUUCAGCUGUCUUGACGAUAAAUUGAGUAGUCUCCCUUGUAAUUGUGAGAAAUGACAAUUACCUCCCUUUGAUUUAUAUCUAAAGUGUAGAAUAAAAAAAUAAUUAACUAUUGAUGUUAAUGUUUUUUCUGACAAUUUACAAAGAGUUUUUCUCUAAUCAAGAACAAACAAACAAAAAAGAUGCAUUGUUAAGAGAGCUGAAAUUUUUUGUAAAUAUUAAAUGUGUUACAUGUCUUUUUAUACUUUUUUCAUGAAAAGAAUAUUUAGAUGAUAGAAUUGAAUUGAUGAAACUCUCCAUAAUGAAAUUGUUUUCAAAUAGAAGCAAUAUAGUGUUUUGUAGAGAAUUAUUUUCAUUUUUUGCUUUAUUAUUUAUUUUGCUCAUUGAGGUCAACAUAAGGUGAUUGACAUUGCUUGUAAUAUAAUCAAAUAUUGAUAUUUUGUAUAUUUUUCCUUUGUUGGACCCCUAAAUCUUACAGUUUUUGUUUGCUUUUCUGUCUCAAGAGAAAGAAAUUGCCAUUGGUGGGGUUCCUGCAGGAGGGUUAUAAGCUUUUUGUAUUACUCAGUAUUUAUAUCCCUUCUAGGGCCUCAAUAUAUGAAAUCCAUACUAAGUUGUAGUGUCAUGUUUAGUUGCGUAUAAUUUUAGUCAUAUUUUAUGUUUACAAUGAAGUUUUGUCUGAUAAACAAACAGCAAUAAUCUACUUUUCAUGUGACACUGUUAAAUAUUGAUAGACCUCUUAUGCAUAUUGGAAAACAAUUCCUAAACAGGGUUUUAUUUUAUCUGUGUUUAAUGAAAAGUGGGAUUAAGCAGAAUUUGAUCAUCCCUUUUGGUGCCCCAUUUUUUGUUUGUUGUGUUGGUUACUAGGUGAUUUCUUUUUCAUGGGAGAGGAAUAUGUUUGGUUAUAGAAAAUAGUUACUGUUUUUUUUUUAUUAUUCACUGCGUAAAAAUGGGUACAGGCUAUGCCUUACUUAAACAAAGCUGAUAUUUAGGUUAGGAGAAAAUAAACUCAACAUUGGGAGAAUUUGACAAAGAAAGUGCUUCAGUGAACAGUAUUGUUUCAUUUAAUAUUCAAUUUUACUCACCAAUGAUAAUUCAUUUAAAGUCUGCUCAGUUAACUUCAUGUUUUUCAUAAAUAAAUAAAAUACAUUUUUAUACCAAAAUCUUCUUAAUCCGUUCAGUAGUUGUCUGUUCUUUGUCUUCUCAAGGGAAAUAACUCUAGCUUCAAACAAGUUCUAGGAAUUAUAUCUUCAAAAGGAGGGUAGACAAUUCCGGUAUAGCUUAUUAAACAGUAUUUAGAUAAGUAAUACUCAGAAUAUUUUUCAUGAACAAAGCUUUUCUGUUGUUUUUUCUAAACUGCUGUACAAAAUUUGUGUUCUUUUUUUUAGUUGAAAAUAAUAUGUCAUUUUCAUAAAACUAACAAAAAAUAUUCUUGAUACAGGGUAAAAAUGAAAGCAAUAUCUUAUAUUCAAGACCUUUUUUUCUUUUGUUUUAUUAUUUGUCCUUUUCUACUUAUUUCUUAUUUAAUUUUUUGGUUAAGGUAGAAUUAACAAUAUAUCUGUGCAAUAUUUAGGACUUUUUUAUAAAUAUAAUAUUCUCCAAUGAUUUCUAUAAUAAUUUUACUAAUUGUCUAAUGACAAAGCAAUAUAUGUUGAAGGUUUUGAAUGUUUAUUAUAAUUUGAACUUUAUUACCUCCAUCAAAGAGAGUUUUGUAUUUCUAUUGAAAGAGUAUAAUGCUAGUAUUCAUUAAAAAUAAUUU
rnacentral:lncRNA from 1 species